CCUUCAGGGGGGGGGUGGAACAAUCCCCUAAGGAGUUCUGUUCUGUCCCCAGGGUGCCAAGCCCCAGGUCCAAGGACUUGGGCAAAUGCUGCUCUCUAUUCCUGGAAAAAAGGGCAUUGACUAAGCUUUUUCCUAGGCCAUGACUACGUAAUCCCAGGCUCUCUGACAUUGGUUCAUUCUGAUUUAAGCAAACAGAGUUGCAGGGUCCUGAGGUUACCAGGGCCCACUUUAGCAAAAAGACUUGGUUAAGUUUUGUUACCUAUGUGUGUAUAUCUACUCUGAGCUCUGAUCACUUGGCUUUUUGACCUGGAAAUGUGAUUUUUAUCAGCUCACCCAGGCAUAACUGGAAACUCAAGCUCUCCCACAUCAGAGCAUCAAUAUGUUAAUUAAUAGCAGGGACAGUCAACUGCCAGGUGGCCAGUGGUAGUCACCAGGGCCCUUAGCUACUAGCUUACGAGCAGAGAGAUUGAACAGAGGUCAGAGGCUCACCGAGGAGCCUAGGAUCAGAACAUGAGUGAAGAUGCUUGGCUGGUCACUCUAUCCUGGUGGGCUGGUUUAAGACAUCCCUACCAUUGGUCUUCUCUCUUGGGUCUUAGAUGGGUAGGUAUGUUGUUAUUCUUUUUAGUUUGGCAGUGAUAGAAAUACAUAAUCACAGUUAUAGUUUGGGUAAAUUUAUAGUACCUCCUAUGGUAUAAUAGGUAUCAACUACACGGUUAAUAUGUGCCAGACACUGUGAGAGGUGACUUCAUGAAUGACUUCAUUUACUGACUAAUUACUUUUCCAUGUCAUCAGGAUUUGUGUAGGUUUCACAGAGAGGCAAUCUUUUCUUCCUGACCUAAUCCUGAUUUGUCUAAUUCCUGAAAUCCCUCAGAGUUCUGAGAUGCACCAGAUGCCACCAUCUUCUGCUACAGUUAUGAAGAGCUUGCUGGUGAGCAUAGGUACCGAUGUGCUCAAAGUAGGACUUGGAGAUGGAGAAGAGGCCACCAGCAAACGUCGGGGAUCUGGAGAGACAGAGGGAGAAGCAUUUGAGAUUUUCAAUGAACUUCUGCAUAUAUGACUACAUUUGACCCUCGGAGUAAUAACUGUGUUAGGUAAGGCUGAUAUCCUCAUUCUCAUUUUACAAAUGAGGAAACUGACUCUCAGUGGCACAGUCAGAAUGUAAACCCAAAAUCCUGACUCUAAGUCUAGCACAAUCCCCAAUAUAUAUCACUGCUCUUAGGGAAUAAUUAUUUCCCUGACAAUGGUGGGGAGGUGUUUUGGUUUUGGGCAAGAGGGAAGCCUUCCUGGUCCCAUGUGGCCCUAUAAAAAGGCCCCACACAAACCAGUUCUCGGUGCUAACAGGAGGCCUCUGUGAGGGGGCUGAGCUCAGAACAAGGCGCAAAUGGGGGUGAGGGGGAGGGAUGAGUGCCUGUGGCCCCAAAGCACACUCCCAGCUGGUCACCAGUUGUUUUAGGGCUAUUUGUGCCGCCUGAUAAAACAUUCUUGGGGUUGCCCUGAGAAAGGGGUAGAAGUGGCUAGAGUGGUCCCAAGCCUCUCUCACU